UUUCUGCUGAUUUUGUCAGAUGACCUUCGCUUCCAUGUUAUUCAGACCGCUGAAGAGCAUUGAAGGCAAACUUUUGGUAUUCCAAUCAGUGUUACCUUCUGUUGGUAUUGCGGCUCUUUCUGCUAGGGAAGCUGAAGGACGAUCUAAUAUAUCUGCAGGAGAAAAGGAACCCCACAAACUACUCCAACCAGUAGACAAUACUUUAAAGACAAUGGCUAUUGAACUUGCUGAGUACCAGGU